GAUGAACGCUGGCGGCGUGCCUAAUACAUGCAAGUCGAGCGAACAGACGAGGAGCUUGCUCCUCUGACGUUAGCGGCGGACGGGUGAGUAACACGUGGAUAACCUACCUAUAAGACUGGGAUAACUUCGGGAAACCGGAGCUAAUACCGGAUAAUAUAUUGAACCGCAUGGUUCAAUAGUGAAAGACGGUUUUGCUGUCUCUUAUAGAUGGAUCCGCGCCGCAUUAGCUAGUUGGUAAGGUAACGGCUUACCAAGGCAACGAUGCGUAGCCGACCUGAGAGGGUGAUCGGCCACACUGGAACUGAGACACGGUCCAGACUCCUACGGGAGGCAGCAGUAGGGAAUCUUCCGCAAUGGGCGAAAGCCUGACGGAGCAACGCCGCGUGAGUGAUGAAGGUCUUCGGAUCGUAAAGCUCUGUUAUUAGGGAAGAACAAAUGUGUAAGUAACUAUGCACGUCUUGACGGUACCUAAUCAGAAAGCCCCGGCUAACUACGUG
rnacentral:rRNA from 1 species